UACCAGCACCCCGAGUGGUCGGGACGAUUAUUGGGCCUAAAGCAUCCGUAGCUUGUUCUGCAAGUCCUCCGUUAAAUCCACCUGCUCAACAGAUGGGCUGCGGAGGAUACUAUAAGACUAGGAGGCAGGAGAGGCAAGCGGUACUCAGUGGGUAGGGGUAAAAUCCGUUGAUCCAUUGAAGACCACCAGUGGCGAAGGCGGCUUGCCAGAAUGCGCUCGACGGUGAGGGAUGAAAGCUGGGGGAGCAAACCGG
rnacentral:rRNA from 1 species